AUUGAACGCUGGCGGCAGGCCUAACACAUGCAAGUCGAGCGGUAACAGGAAGUAGCUUGCUACUUUGCUGACGAGCGGCGGACGGGUGAGUAAUGCCUGGGAAUUUGCCCAUUCGAGGGGGAUAACAGUUGGAAACGACUGCUAAUACCGCAUACGCCCUACGGGGGAAAGGAGGGGACCUUCGGGCCUUCCGCGAAUGGAUAAGCCCAGGUGGGAUUAGCUAGUAGGUGAGGUAAUGGCUCACCUAGGCGACGAUCCCUAGCUGUUCUGAGAGGAUGAUCAGCCACACUGGGACUGAGACACGGCCCAGACUCCUACGGGAGGCAGCAGUGGGGAAUAUUGCACAAUGGGGGAAACCCUGAUGCAGCCAUGCCGCGUGUGUGAAGAAGGCCUUCGGGUUGUAAAGCACUUUCAGCAGUGAGGAAGGGGUGGUUAAUACCGCCUUUGACGUUAGCUGCAGAAGAAGCACCGGCUAACUCCGU
rnacentral:rRNA from 1 species